ACAAGGAUGGUAAAAGGAUAGCCGAGGAACGGCGAAGCGAUAAGCAGGAUGUUAUCGCGUCUGGAUGACACAAGGAUCACUUCAGGACGAAGUCAGGGACACCGCCAGGAAGGUCGAAGAGAGUCAGGACAGGAUAGACUGACGGGUCAGGAAGGCCAAGGAACACGUCAGGAUGACGUUAAAAAAGGACAAUGCUGGCAGGAUGCAGCGGUCAACGGAAUGAUGCAGGGAGCACCAUCGUAGCGGGAUUGCUGCAAGUAAGACCUAAGGGCGCAACGCAAGUUGCGCCCGUUCUUUUAUCU
rnacentral:other from 1 species